rnacentral:rRNA from 1 species
ACCCGCGUACAUGCCACCGGGGCAUCCCGGAGGCAGGAAAGGCUUCGGCCGGACAGGGAUGGGCAUGCGGCGCAUUAGGCAGUAGGCGGGGUAACGGCCCACCUAACCGACGAUGCGUAGGGGUUCUGAGAGGAAGGUCCCCCACACUGGUACUGAGACACGGACCAGACUCCUACGGGAGGCAGCAGUGAGGAAUAUUGGUCAAUGGUCGGGAGACUGAACCAGCCAAGCCGCGUGAGGGAUGAAGGUACAGAGUAUCGUAAACCUCCUUUGUCAGGGAACAAAGGCGGGGACGUGUCCCCGGAUGAGUGUACCUGAAGAAAAAGCAUCGGCUAACUCCGUGCCAGCAGCCGCGGUAAUACGGAGGAUGCGAGCGUUAUCCGGAUUUAUUGGGUUUAAAGGGUGCGCAGGCGGUCUGUUAAGUCAGCGGUCAAAGCCCGGGGCUCAACCCCGGCCCGCCGUUGAAACUGGCAGUCUCGAGUUGGAGAGAAGUAUGCGGAAUGCGCGGUGUAGCGGUGAAAUGCAUAGAUAUCGCGCAGAACUCCGAUUGCGAAGGCAGCAUGCCGGCUCCACACUGACGCUGAGGCACGAAAGCGUGGGUAUCGAACAAAAGUAGAUACCCUGGUAGUCCACGCAGUAAACGAC